rnacentral:rRNA from 1 species
UACGUAGGGUGCAAGCGUUGUCCGGAAUUAUUGGGCGUAAAGAGCUCGUAGGCGGUCUGUUGCGUCGGCUGUGAAAACCCGAGGCUCAACUCCGGGCCUGCAGCCGAUACGGGCAGACUAGAGUUCGGCAGGGGAGACUGGAAUUCCUGGUGUAGCGGUGAAAUGCGCAGAUAUCAGGAGGAACACCAGUGGCGAAGGCGGCUCACUGGCCCGGUACUGACGCUGAGGCGACGAAAGCGUGGGGGAGCAAACAGG